CGCGUGGGGGUAAUAAAAGGGUCAAGAUCAAAGGGGGGGCCCCAAAUGACUAAAGGCGUCGCUUUUGCAGAAUGCCCCUCGACUUUUACGCGGGUGCUGCCUCUGCGCUCUCUGCCUCUCUCAGCCUUUCAUCGUACUUUUGUCACGUCAAUCAUCUGCACGCGCCCCGACCUCGCCUCUGUGCUUACUCUCUCUCUCUAUUUCUCUGUCUCCCUCCCCACCGUACGCGUGUCGCUGAGGAAGGGCUAUUCCCGUCAUUUU
rnacentral:lncRNA from 1 species